rnacentral:rRNA from 1 species
GCUUAACGCGAAGAACCUUACCAAGGUUUGACAUACACCGGAAAGCUCUGGAGACAGGGCCCUCCUUUUGGACUGGUGUACAGGUGGUGCAUGGCUGUCGUCAGCUCGUGUCGUGAGAUGUUGGGUUAAGUCCCGCAACGAGCGCAACCCUUGUUCCAUGUUGCCAGCACGCCCGUUUGGGUGGUGGGGACUCAUGGGAGACUGCCGGGGUCAACUCGGAGGAAGGUGGGGAUGACGUCAAGUCAUCAUGCCCCUUAUGUCUUGGGCUGCAAACAUGCUACAAUGGUCGGUACAGAGGGUUGCGAUACCGUGAGGUGGAGCGAAUCCCUAAAAGCCGGUCUCAGUUCGGAUUGGGGUCUGCAACUCGACCCCAUGAAGUCGGAGUCGCUAGUAAUCGCAGAUCAGCAACGCUGCGGUGAAUACGUUCCCGGGUCUUGUACACACCG